UCCCAUCUGCUCGCUCUUUUGCUUCCAUCUUCGGGGCCUCUCUGAAAUAGCAAGACCCUUUUAGAAAGCCUUCCUCUUCAUCACCAUUCUCGCUGCUCGUUGGAUCUGAGAACUGACAUGAUCUCCUCAUAUACCAAUAUCUUCUUACCAUACAACAGCAUCAUAACUAACGGAUCGAAGCUCCUAGAUAGCGAACAUAAUAACAAUAGACUUUUAUUCUCUUCUUCAA
rnacentral:lncRNA from 1 species